rnacentral:rRNA from 1 species
UACGUAGGGUGCAAGCGUUAAUCGGAAUUACUGGGCGUAAAGCGUGCGCAGGCGGUUUUGUAAGUCUGUCGUGAAAUCCCCGGGCUCAACCUGGGAAUUGCGAUGGAGACUGCAAGGCUAGAAUCUGGCAGAGGGGGGUAGAAUUCCACGUGUAGCAGUGAAAUGCGUAGAGAUGUGGAGGAACACCGAUGGCGAAGGCAGCCCCCUGGGUCAAGAUUGACGCUCAUGCACGAAAGCGUGGGGAGCAAACAGGAUUAGAAACGUACCGU